GGGGAUGUAAUGGCUUCGACAAAUGUCUAUUUGAUAUUAUUGCAGUGGUUUGGUAGACCAUAAUACCAAGAGGAAUUCUUAAUUGGAAACGAUGAAGAAACAAUUCCAACAUACAUGUUAAAUACUUCAAACGAAGUAGCAAUGUACGCUUAGUUGGAACUUUUCUAUUUUAAUCUUCUGUGGUUAUUUUAGAAGAGACGUUUACACAGAAUAUACUCUCUAUUAUCCCAGGGUAGGGAGCGAACUUUAUGGGAAACUCAUUAGUAGUUUUGCUAUGUGUGCUUCUAAUGUGUGAUUAACACAUAGAUAAACUGUAGAAGUAAUUGAUAAGAACCAUUUGGACCCGGGUUCGACUCCCGGCAUCUCCACCA
rnacentral:tmRNA from 1 species